GUGUGGAUGUCCCGGAAGUCUUCCGCUCAGUCCGCCGCUGGACGCAGCUCGGCCCGCGGGCUGGAGGGUCGGUCCCACGGAACGCGCCGAGGCCCAGGGGACAGCGGGCCUGGGGUGCCCUUCCCUGCGGCCCCUGGUUGGGGCAGACCCGGGGGCGCCCGUCCCUCUGCCCACUUAGGUUCUUUCUGCUCUGUGAUAACGCCCUCCCCCGAUGGAUGAGAAAACCAGCUGGAAGCUCAGGCUCCAAGCUGACAUCUUUUUAAACAUUGUAUGGACACCUGCUGUGUGAUCCAGACGUUCCUCUGCGAGGGGAAGGGCCCACGUACAUGGAGCUGGGCCUGGAGGUGCAUCACGACCUUAACAGCCCGGAGCCAACACAGCCCCGACGUCCAUCAGCCGAGCGCACAGAUGAGCCUGGCGAGUCCAAACGUGGACACCUCUCACUGAAAAACAGCACACUGUGCAUGGAUGUGAGGAGGAUGUGCACUCUACUGUUGCGUGGAAUGUUCCAGACAUGUCCUUGGAGAAAGUCAACUGAUGGUCUUCAUGUUGAACUGUAUCCUCCCUGGCUUCCUGACUGCUUGUCCAUCAGGUACCAGAAGAGGGCUGUUCAAGUCUCAGAGGUGAACCUGCGCUUGCCCGUUUCCCCUCGCCAUCCUGCUGGUCUCUGCUCACCUCGGCUCUUUGAUGCUCUGUGGUUUGGGAGGCAGGGAAGGCUCUUCCAAGGCCGAGACUGUAGAAGUUAUGGGGAAGUUUCACUCACCCGGCCGCUGCUCCGUCCCACUACCAGCAAAUCCCUCUCUUAGUGGCGGGUCACCUGUGCGGAACAGUGGGCAGGGAGGAGUCUGCCUGUAGAGCUGAGUUAUUCCUCCCAGCAGUCUCCGCCCCCUGCCCCCCAUAGAGGGUUAGUGUUGUCUCCUUCUGAGUGUCCCGGCCAUCUCUCCAGCCUGAAUCCUCAUGUAUGGAAAAGGCAGUCGGCAGGUAGCUUGGGUGAGAAAUAACCUUCUCUGUGAGCCGUAAGGGUCUGAGGUCACUGCUAUCCCAGCUGGCACAGACUGGCGCCUUGAUUCGGGUGCUGCACCCACAAACCCCAAAGCUGUGGCGUUGGCUCUGGGGCUGGUGGGGCUGUGUGAAACCUUGCCCAGACUGGUUCCGCGAGGCCCCGGAAAGCAGAGGUGGAGGCUGUGGACGCAGGCCCAGAGGUUUGGGGACCAAGUGAGACCACAGGGCCUUGAUGGCUGCAAGGGCUGCGGGUCCUCAGGCGGCAGGAAGCAGAGGGCAGGCAGGUGGAAGCUGGUUUGCGAGCAGUGUGGAAAGGACGGGCCCACCUCGCUUUGCUGCUCUCCGCAGCUGCUGCGUUCUCUGCAGAUUGGGGGUUUUGGCCACAGCGCGUUGCUCAAGUCUGUGCCGCUUUUUCCUUAGCAUUUGCUCACUUUGUGUCCCCGCAUCUCAGUUUUAAAUUCCUGCAGCGUUCCAAAUGCCCUUCAACGUUUUCCUAUUUAUUACCAUGCUCAGUGAUCUUUGAUGUUUCUAUUAACACUACGAUUCACCGAAGGCUCAGACAGUGGUUAGCAUCUUUUAGCAAUAAAAUAUUUUAAAUUAAGGCACAUACGUUGCUUUUUAGAAAGAAUGCUAUCUCACACUUAAUAGAACACAGUGUAGCACAAGCAUAAAUUUAUAGGCACAGGGAAACCAAAAAAUUCAUGGGACUCGGUUUACUGUGGCAUUUGCUUUAUUGGGAUGUCUGGCACCGAACCUGCAGUGUCUCGGACGUCUGCCUGUGCUCCUUCCCUCUGGCUAACACAACAUAAACUAGAGAUGUUUCACUUAACAAAGGCCAGUCAGACUCAUCCCGCUGGCAAAGACCAGACGGACAGGAUGGCCACCAGGGCUUCAGUCGUUAAUACAAUCGUGGGGCAGGCUAAGGAGACAGCCAUUGUUUCCCCAUCUAUUUGCCACGAAGUGAUGGGGAAACAAUGGAAACAGUGACAGACUUUAUUUUCUUGGGCUCCAAAAUCUCUGUGGAUGGUGACUGCAGCCA
ensembl:lncRNA